rnacentral:rRNA from 1 species
GUCCUUUUGUAUUUAUUUAAGGUCUAGUCUGCCCACUGAAUUUAAAUUUUAAAUGGCCGCAGUAUUUUGACUGUGCAAAGGUAGCAUAAUCAUUAGUUUUUUAAUUAAAAGCUUGUAUGAAAGGCUGGACGAGGUAAAAUCUGUCUCUAUUUAAAUUAUAAUAGAAUUUAAUUUUUAAGUUAAAAAGCUUAAAUGUUAUUAAAAGACGAGAAGACCCUAUAGAUCUUUAUAAUUUAUUAAUUAAAAUUAAUUUAGAAUUAUUAAUAUUUUAUUUAAUUAAAUUAUUUUAUUGGGGUAAUAUAAAGAUUGAAUUAAUUCUUUUUUAUAAUAAACAUUAAUUUAUGAAUAUUAGAUGAUCCAGUUUUAUUGAUUAUAAGAUUAAGUUACCUUAGGGAUAACAGCGUAAUUUUUUUAGAGAGUUCAUAUCGAUAAAAAAGUUUGCGACCUCGAUGUUGGAUUAAAGAUUAUUUUAGGUGUAGAAGCUUAAUAAUUUUGGUCUGUUCGACCAUUAAAUCUUUAC